ensembl:snRNA U6 U6 spliceosomal RNA
GUGCUCGCAUGGGCAGAACAUAUACUAAAAUUGGAAUGAUACAGAGAAGAUUAGCAUGGCCCCUACGCAAGGAGAGCUUUGCACAGUGUGCCAAAUACAUAAUAUGU